rnacentral:rRNA from 1 species
CCUACGGGUGGCACCAGUGGGGAAUAUUGCACAAUGGGCGCAAGCCUGAUGCAGCCAUGCCGCGUGUAUGAAGAAGGCCUUCGGGUUGUAAAGUACUUUCAGCGGGGAGGAAGGUGUUGUGGUUAAUAACCGCAGCAAUUGACGUUACCCGCAGAAGAAGCACCGGCUAACUCCGUGCCAGCAGCCGCGGUAAUACGGAGGGUGCAAGCGUUAAUCGGAAUUACUGGGCGUAAAGCGCACGCAGGCGGUCUGUCAAGUCGGAUGUGAAAUCCCCGGGCUCAACCUGGGAACUGCAUUCGAAACUGGCAGGCUGGAGUCUUGUAGAGGGGGGUAGAAUUCCAGGUGUAGCGGUGAAAUGCGUAGAGAUCUGGAGGAAUACCGGUGGCGAAGGCGGCCCCCUGGAUAAAGACUGACGCUCAGGUGCGAAAGCGUGGGGAGCAAACAGGAUUAGAUACCCGGGUAGUC